UAAUGUGAAUGUUAUGGCAUAAUUCAGCAUUCCACUCUGAGUGGAAUAUUUGUUUAUGCUGAAUUGCGUGGUUGGCUUAUCUUCUGUCUUUUUCUCAUUCUCUCUAAGACCGGUGGAGAUAUUUCAUUUCUAGGGUUUGAAAAGCCCGUCGCUAGGGUAGUCAAGACGCCAAAGUUGAAGGCCGCCAGGGCAGUCAAGACGCCGGAGCUGAAGGCUGACGUUGGAGCCGAAGUUCGACGCUAGUGCACCCAAGUCGUAUCCUCAGCAGGCCAGAACCAGGCCGGAAAAGGAAGAAUGGCUUCAUCACCUGCAAGAGAUACGUUGAAGGUAAGCGAUCUCGUGGUGUAGAAGAUUAUGAAUCACAUGAGGUUUCCACAACCCCAAGUGUUUUUACUCCAAAUGAUCCACUCCAAUCACAACCUCUGCAUGAGACAGAGGAUGAUGAUAUUAUGCACGUGGAACUUCUUUGUCCUCAACCAUGGAAUCCUCAAACUCAAAGUUCAAGCAAUGUAAUAGGAGAUGAAGAUGGAUAUAGAAGAAAAAGGGAGCAAAAGGAAAAAAAAACCAAGAUUCAUCAUUCAAUAUGCAACAAUACAUAUCAUUUCGAGAGCGUGAGAAUAAAGAAUAUCUCAAUGUUCUGAAGGACACUCAAGUAGUGCAGAAGCAUACAAUAGAAUAUUGCAUGAAGGUGUUUAACUCAAUGAGUUGCAUUUUCAUAAAGGAAGAAAUGUUCAAAGCCACCCAAAUUUUCAUUAAAGAUAAGAGUUAUUGUGAACUCUUCUUAUGUCUUCAGGACGAUCAUAAAGUGCCAUGGUUGAAGAUGAUGUUCUAAAAAUUGAGUAAUAAACAAUGAGUAUAUGACAUUGUUAUGUGUUUUCUUGAAUGUUAUGUGUUUUCUUUUGGAUUGACA